AACGAACGCUGGCGGCAGGCCUAACACAUGCGAGUCGAGCGCCCCGCAAGGGGAGCGGCGGACGGGUGAGUAACGCGUGGGAAUAUGCCCUUUGCUACGGAAUAGUCUCGGGAAACUGGGGGUAAUACCGUAUACGCCCUUUGGGGGAAAGAUUUAUCGGCGAAGGAUUAGCCCGCGUUGGAUUAGGUAGUUGGUGGGGUAAUGGCCUACCAAGCCGACGAUCCAUAGCUGGUUUGAGAGGAUGAUCAGCCACACUGGGACUGAGACACGGCCCAGACUCCUACGGGAGGCAGCAGUGGGGAAUCUUAGACAAUGGGGGCAACCCUGAUCUAGCCAUGCCGCGUGAGUGAUGAAGGCCUUAGGGUUGUAAAGCUCUUUCAGCUGGGAAGAUAAUGACGGUACCAGCAGAAGAAGCCCCGGCUAACUCCGUG
rnacentral:rRNA from 1 species